UCAGUUUUUACGUUGGCAGGUGCCCGUGUUACGGGAGAAUAGGGAAUCAGGUGUAAGUCCUGAGCGGACCCGCCACUGUAACCAGGGACAGGCCGCGGGAGGCCACUGCCACGGAACACCGGGGCGGGAAGGCGCGGUUGAUGGAUGACCUGGAGCCAGGAGACCUGCCUGCCGACAGGGCUCUCU
rnacentral:ncRNA from 2 species